UACGAAGGGGGCGAGCGUUGUUCGGAAUCACUGGGCGUAAAGAGCGCGCAGGCGGUCGUUCAAGUCGAGUGUGAAAGCCCCCGGCUCAACUGGGGAGGGUCAUUCGAUACUGAUCGACUUGAAGGCAGGAGAGGGAAGUGGAAUUCCCGGUGUAGUGGUGAAAUGCGUAGAUAUCGGGAGGAACACCAGUGGCGAAGGCGACUUCCUGGCCUGUUCUUGACGCUGAGGCGCGAAAGCUAGGGGAGCAAACGGG
rnacentral:rRNA from 1 species